rnacentral:rRNA from 1 species
GAUGAACGCUGGCGGCGCGCCUAAUACAUGCAAGUCGAGCGAAUGGAUUAAGAGCUUGCUCUUAUGGAGUUAGCGGCGGACGGGUGAGUAACACGUGGAUAACCUGCCCAUAAGACUGGGAUAACUCCGGGAAACCGGGGCUAAUACCGGAUAAUAUUUUGAACUGCAUGGUUCAAAAUUGAAAGGCGGCUUCGGCUGUCACUUAUGGAUGGACCCGCGUCGCAUUAGCUAGUUGGUGAGGUAACGGCUCACCAAGGCAACGAUGCGUAGCCGACCUGAGAGGGUGAUCGGCCACACUGGGACUGAGACACGGCCCAGACUCCUACGGGAGGCAGCAGUAGGGAAUCUUCCGCAAUGGACGAAAGUCUGACGGAGCAACGCCGCGUGAGUGAUGAAGGCUUUCGGGUCGUAAAACUCUGUUGUUAGGGAAGAACAAGUGCUAGUUGAAUAAGCUGGCACCUUGACGGUACCUAACCAGAAAGCCACGGCUAACUACGUGCCAGCCGCCGCGGUAA